GACGAACGCUGGCGGCGUGCUUAACACAUGCAAGUCGAACGGAAAGGCCCCUUUGGGGGUCCUCGAGUGGCGCACGGGUGAGUAACACGUGAGUAACCUGCCCUUGACUUCGGGAUAACUUCAGGAAACUGGGGCUAAUACCGGAUAGGAAUCCUUGCUGCAUGGUGGGGGUUGGAAAGCUUCGGCGGUUUUGGAUGGACUCGCGGCCUAUCAGCUUGUUGGUGGGGUAGUGGCUUACCAAGGCUUUGACGGGUAGGCGGCCUGAGAGGGGGACCGGCCACAUUGGGGCUGAGAUACGGGCCAGACUCCUACGGGAGGCAGCGAGGGGGAAUAUUGCACAAAGGGCGGGAGCCUGAUGCAGCAACGCCGGGGGCGGGAUGACGGGCUUCGGGUUGUAAACCGCUUUCAGCAGGGGCGAAGCUUGUGGUGACGGUACCUGCAGAAGAAGCACCGGCUAACUACGUG
rnacentral:rRNA from 1 species